GGUGAAAAGCACCCCGGAAGGGGAGUGAAAUAGAACCUGAAACCGUGUGCUUACAAGUAGUCAGAGCCCGUUAAUGGGUGAUGGCGUGCCUUUUGUAGAAUGAACCGGCGAGUUACGAUUUGAUGCAAGGUUAAGCAGUAAAUGUGGAGCCGUAGCGAAAGCGAGUCUGAAUAGGGCGUUUAGUAUUUGGUCGUAGACCCGAAACCAGGUGAUCUACCCUUGGUCAGGUUGAAGUUCAGGUAACACUGAAUGGAGGACCGAACCGACUUACGUUGAAAAGUGAGCGGAUGAACUGAGGGUAGCGGAGAAAUUCCAAUCGAACCUGGAGAUAGCUGGUUCUCUCCGAAAUAGCUUUAGGGCUAGCCUCAAGUGAUGAUUAUUGGAGGUAGAGCACUGUUUGGACGAGGGGCCCCUCUCGGGUUACCGAAUUCAGACAAACUCCGAAUGCCAAUUAAUUUAACUUGGGAGUCAGAACAUGGGUGAUAAGGUCCGUGUUCGAAAGGGAAACAGCCCAGACCACCAGCUAAGGUCCCAAAAUAUAUGUUAAGUGGAAAAGGAUGUGGCGUUGCCCAGACAACUAGGAUGUUGGCUUA
rnacentral:rRNA from 1 species